GCUUCCCUGCGGUACUCGGGGUAACAUCAAUUCUUGAGCCAACAUGAAACAAAGGGGUUGAAAUAUCGCUGUGGUGUGCAUGCCUCGCGAGAGGAAGUCUGAAGCAGUGACCGGAGAUCCCACCUGUCCUUGGCAGGUUCAAAAAUAGAUUUUGCCACGGUAUCGCGGAGAGGCA
rnacentral:other from 1 species